GUGUUUGAUAUAAUUCACCAGUAAAGCCAUCUUUUCCUGGACUUUCUUUGGGGAAGAGAGCAUUUUAAUGAUUAAAUCAGUCUCUUGACUUGAAAAGUGAGGAAAAGAAGAGCAAGCUAAAUCCAAAGCUAGCAGAAGGAAAAACUUAAUAAAGAAAACAGAGAGAGAAAAAGAGAGAUAUUCAAGAUGGCUGAAUAAGGAGGCCUUGCUCUUGCCACUACCACAAAGAACUAGAACAGCAAGGGAAGGACUGUAUUUCUAAGAUAUUGACCGAAGGAAAAUUUCAACAAAGAAGUGACAGGAACUGUAAACAGCACAGGGGCUCUGAAAGCGAGCAGAGAGAGAUGAACAAAGCACACUGGAGUCUCCACCCUGGCUCCCUGACUUGAGGGACUCCAUCUUGCUGGGAAAAGAUUCUUCAUUGAGUCAGCAUUUGAAAUGAAGAGAUGGACUGUGAUUCAUUCAUCAUUCACUAGAUGAUUGUGGAUACUUUUUAAUAUCAUAAAACUCAAAAAGUGGUGGAUUCAUAAACAUUAAUUGCGAUGUGGAACUCAGAUCAACAUUAAUGCACUUUUUGCAUGUGGGGACUUUGAAAGUUUCAUGGAAAAUAAAAGGUGAAGAUCCUGAGACCCAUACAAGUGGAGAGACAGGCCCCCGAAACUGCCAAAGCCCCAAUUGGACCCAGAAUCCUGACUGCUAUCAAGAAUCCUUACCAUUUCACUUUUGGUUAUCAAGCUUCUGCAGGCCUCAAAAUCACCAAGUGGGCUUCUUAAACUCAGAC